UGGUGAGUAACACGUGGGUAACCUGCCCUUGAAGUAGGGGAUAACACUUGGAAACAGGUGCUAAUACCGUAUAACAACCAAAACCACCUGGUUUUGGUUUAAAAGACGGCUUCGGCUGUCACUUUAGGAUGGACCCGCGGCGUAUUAGCUUGUUGGUAAGGUAACGGCUUACCAAGGCGAUGAUACGUAGCCGACCUGAGAGGGUAAUCGGCCACAUUGGGACUGAGACACGGCCCAAACUCCUACGGGAGGCAGCAGUAGGGAAUCUUCCACAAUGGACGAAAGUCUGAUGGAGCAACGCCGCGUGAGUGAUGAAGGGUUUCGGCUCGUAAAACUCUGUUGUUGGAGAAGAACAGGUGUCAGAGUAACUGUUGACAUCUUGACGGUAUCCAACCAGAAAGCCACGGCUAACUACGUGCCAGCAGCCGCGGUAAUACGUAGGUGGCAAGCGUUGUCCGGAUUUAUUGGGCGUAAAGCGAGCGCAGGCGGUUUUUUAGGUCUGAUGUGAAAGCCUUCGGCUUAACCGGAGAAGUGCAUCGGAAACCGGGAGACUUGAGUGCAGAAGAGGACAGUGGAACUCCAUGUGUAGCGGUGAAAUGCGUAGAUAUAUGGAAGAACACCAGUGGCGAAGGCGGCUGUCUGGUCUGUAACUGACGCUGAGGCUCGAAAGCAUGGGUAGCGAACAGGAUUAGAUACCCUGGUAGUCCAUGCCGUAAACGAUGAGUGCUAAGUGUUGGAAGGGUUUCCGCCCUUCAGUGCUGCAGCUAACGCAUUAAGCACUCCGCCUGGGGGAGUACGACCGCAAGGUUGAAACUCAAAGGAAUUGACGGGGGCCCGCACAAGCGGUGGAGCAUGUGGUUUAAUUCGAUGCUACGCGAAGAACCUUACCAGGUCUUGACAUCUUCUGCCAACCUAAGAGAUUAGGCGUUCCCUUCGGGGACAGAAUGACAGGUGGUGCAUGGUUGUCGUCAGCUCGUGUCCUGAAAAUUUUGGGUUAAGUCCCGCAACGAGCGCAACCCUUAUUGUUAGUUGCCACCAUUCAGUUGGGCACUCUAACAAGAAUGCCGGUGACAACCCGAGGAAAGGGGGGGGGGAUAAAC
rnacentral:rRNA from 1 species